GCAGGCAGGCAGUCCCAAGGAAAUUAAUUCUACCAACAACAAUGCAAGCUUGGAAAAAGAUCCUAAGCUCCAGAAGGGAAUUCGGUCCUGCCAACACCUAGAAGAUCCUGAGCAGGGGAUUCAGCUAAGCUGUGCCCAGACUCAACCCCUAGAAACAGAAACUUCCAGGUUCUCUCUGCAUCUGGCUCAUCUUAUGCCUGGCCUUGGGUACUGCUAUCAGUCUUACCUUGUCUCUUCUGAUCUGCGUUCUCAUCUCAGCUUCCUGCCCAACCCUCCUACAUUGCAUAAAUUUCUUCCCAAUAUGUUUGCUCUACAACAAAUGGUAUUAUUUUUGAGGCAUACCCAUGUCUUCAGUAUUUUUGCAGCUGCUUUCUGUUAUGCAUAUUUGUUUUAAUGUAAAUAUUCCUUUCUACCUGAUUAAAUAUUUCUUUGAGCAUUCUUUCUAAUAAAAAUGUCACUUAUUAUAAAAUCAU